rfam:Mustela putorius furo unplaced genomic scaffold scaffold00037, whole genome shotgun sequence.
GCCUGGCUGGCUCAGCUGGAAGAGCAUGUGAUUCCUGAUCUCAGGGUUGUGAGUUUGAGCCCCACAUUGGGUA